CCUACGGGUGGCAGCAGUGAGGAAUAUUGGUCAAUGGGCGUAAGCCUGAACCAGCCAAGUCGCGUGAGGGAUGAAGGUUCUAUGGAUCGUAAACCUCUUUUAUAAGGGAAUAAAGUGCGGGACGUGUCCCGUUUUGUAUGUACCUUAUGAAUAAGGAUCGGCUAACUCCGUGCCAGCAGCCGAGGUAAUACGGAGGAUCCGAGCGUUAUCCGGAUUUAUUGGGGUUAAAGGGUGCGUAGGCGGCCUUUUAAGUCAGCGGGGAAAGUCUGUGGCGCAACCAUAGAAUUGCCGUUGAAACUGGGAGGCUUGAGUAUGUUUGAGGCAGGCGGAAUGCGUGGUGUAGCGGUGAAAUGCUUAGAUAUCACGCAGAACCCCGAUUGCGAAGGCAGCCUGCCAAGCCAUGACUGACGCUGAUGCACGAAAGCGUGGGGAUCAAACAGGAUUAGAUACCCGGGUAGUC
rnacentral:rRNA from 1 species